rnacentral:rRNA from 1 species
AUUGAACGCUGGCGGAAUGCUUUACACAUGCAAGUCGAACGGCAGCACGGACUUCGGUCUGGUGGCGAGUGGCGAACGGGUGAGUAAUGUAUCGGAACGUGCCCAGUCGUGGGGGAUAACGUAGUGAAAAUUACGCUAAUACCGCAUACGAUCUAUGGAUGAAAGCGGGGGAUCGCAAGACCUCGCGCGAUUGGAGCGGCCGAUAUCAGAUUAGGUAGUUGGUAGGGUAAAGGCCCACCAAGCCAACGAUCUGUAGCUGGACUGUGAGGACGACCAGCCACAAUGGAACUGAGACACGGUCCAGACUCCUACGGGAGGAAGCAGUGGGGAAUUUUGGACAAUGGGCGAAAGCCUGAUCCAGCCAUUCCGCGUGCAGGAUGAAGGCCCUCGGGUUGUAAACUGCUUUUGUACAGAACGAAAAGGUUUCUACUAAUACUAGGAGCUCAUGACGGUACUGUAAGAAUAAGCACCGGCUAACUACGUGCCAGCCGCCGCCGUAA